AUUGAACGCUGGCGGCAUGCUUUACACAUGCAAGUCGAACGGUAGAGGGGGCAACCCCUUGAGAGUGGCGAACGGGUGAGUAAUGCAUCGGAACGUGCCCAGUCGGGGGGGAUACCGCAGCGAAAGCUGUCCUAAUACCGCAUACUCUCUCUGGAUGAAAGCGGGGCACCGAAAGGCCUCGCGCGAGUGGCAGGGCCGAUGUCAGAUUAGGUAGUUGGUGGGGUAAAGGCUCACCAAGCCAACGAUCUGUAGCUGGUCUGAGAGGACGACCAGCCACACUGGGACUGAGACACGGCCCAGACUCCUACGGGAGGCAGCAGUGGGGAAUUUUGGACAAUGGGCGCAAGCCUGAUCCAGCAAUGCCGCGUGCAGGAAGAAGGCCUUCGGGUUGUAAACUGCUUUUGUACGGGACGAAAAGGUCUGGGUUAAUACCCUGGGCACAUGACGGUACCGUAAGAAUAAGCACCGGCUAACUACGUGCCAGCCGCCGCUGUAA
rnacentral:rRNA from 1 species